AUGGACACCGCCAUCGGUGCCGCAAAGUGGGUGCUGGGCAAGGCGCUGGCCCCCGUCACGGAUGGCUUGCUGGAGGCCUGGGCGGCUAGCGCCAAUCUCGAUCACAACAUCGACGCCCUCAAGAUGGAGCUGCUGUAUGCGCAUGGGAUGCUCGAGAACGCGCAGGGCAGGGGCGUCCGUGGCGUCGCGCUCAAGGAGCUCCUGCGCAAGCUCGAGCAGCUGGCGUACGGGGCAGAUGAUGUGCUGGAUGAGCUGGAGUACUUCCGCAUCCACGACGCCCUUCAUGGAACCUACCAUGCCGCCGACGUGAAUGCCGUGGGUUCCGUCCAUGCCAUCCGCAUCAAUGCUGAACACACGGCAAGGCAUGUCACCAGCAAACUCUUGGGUGCUCCUAGCCAUGGUGGUGACCAAGAAAGUGAUCCUAGUGAUCACCAAGAAAGUGAUCCCGGUGAACACCAAGAAAAUGAUGGCAAGCAACGAUGCCUCUCUGGCAUACGCUUGUGUGGCAGGCGGGGCAUCAGCUCCUCGUCACCGACGCCCGCCAACAAGGGGGGUGUCAAGAAGGUUGAUGGCAGAUGCAUGCCCAAGGUCAUCUCAAGUGCUCGCAACGCUGCCCACACAUUCGGUAAACACUUUCCAUGCUACUCUCCUAUAUCUGCCCACCAUGAUAAUCCUCAAGCCCAUGUGACUGUUCAAACCAAAAAUGAUGAUCCUCAAGCUAUCAUGCCGGAGCUUGCAAACCAUAGCGAUUGCGAAGAAUUGAAGUUUAAUAGGGUCCAAAUGUCUCAAAUGAUGAUGGACAUGGUAGUGCAGCUAAAGGAAGUAUGUGCUAAGGUCUCCAUAAUUCUUAAUCUAAAUUUGUUGGGCUCCAACUGCACUCACACCAAAGAAAUUGCUAUAAACAGAUCCAAAACCACAUCAGAGAUUGUAGAACCUGAUUUUUACGGGAGGGAUGACCAAAAGAAGAAAAUUGUAGAUGUCAUUAAUAGUCACGAGUACUCUUUCAGUCAACUUAACGUGCUUCCAAUUUUUGGAAUUGGGGGUAUUGGAAAAACAACUUUUACGCAACACAUAUGCCAAGAAAUGAGUAGCUAUUUCCAGGCUUCAAUUUGGGUAUGUGUCUCUCUUGAUUUCAGUGCAGAUAGGUUGGCACAAGAGAUAGUCAACAAAAUCGCUAAAGUUGAUGGUGAAAAGAAGAAUGCUAGUGCCGAAGAACUUAUCCAACAAAGAUUAAAAGGUAAGAGGUUUUUACUCGUCUUGGAUGAUAUGUGGACAUAUCGAGAGGAUGAGUGGAAAAAACUAAUAGCACCUUUGAAAAAGGUUGAGUCCAAGGGUAAUUUCAUUAUAGUCACAACUCGAAUACCAAUGGUAGCAGAAAUGGUUAAGACAACCAAUUGUGAACUAGAACUGGAAAGACUAGAUGAUGCAGAUACCAUGCGUUUCUUUGAAGCAUGUGUAUUUGGUAAUGAGCUAGAACCAUGGGGAAAACAUCCUGCUGCAUUACAUGAAACUGGUCAUGAAGUAGUGCGCCAUUUGAAAGGUUCCCCUCUUGCAACUAAAACUGUAGAAACCAUCCAUCUUCGUUACCUAAGGAUCGAGCCAAGCGAUGAUAGAUGCAACAUCGACUUACCGAAAUUAAGAAGAUUUCAAGUUCGAAAUGAUUGUACUGGUUUCGAAAUAAGUCAGCUCACGCAGUUAACAGAGUUGGGAGGGUCACUUGGCAUCUAUAAUCUUGAAAAGGUGCCAAAAAAGGGGGGCCGGGAUAAGGAAAUAAGACCAAUACAUAGGAACCACUUGCGUGAACUAACAUUAGAGUGGGAUGUGGAACGAUCUAACAGGGAACCAACAAGAGAAGAAAAUGUUAUUGAAAAUCUUGUACCACAUAGUGACCUUCGAGAUCUGUGCAUUACAGGACACGGAGGUACUAGUUGCCCAAGAUGGCUAGGUGAUAACCUCUUGGUCAAAAAUUUGGAAUCUCUUCACUUGGCUAAUGUAUCUUGGAAAACUUUUCCACCAUUAGGAGAGUUCUGGUCGGUCCAUGAGCCCCAUGGUGAGUGCAAGGGUUGCAUCGCAAGCCCAAGCUUUCAAAAAAAUUGUCUCAAAAAACAAGGCUUUCAAAAUUUGAAAAGGCUAGUGUUUGUUAAGAUACCAAAACUGAAAAGGUGGGCUGGAAAUCAAAAUUGUGGCUUCUUCCUCCACCUGGAAGUGGUCAUUAUUGAAGACUGCCCUGAACUUAUAGAGUUGCCGUUUUCAUGUUCUACUUGCUCUCAGCCAGAGCAGGAAGGAGAGAACAUGACUUGGUUCCCUAGACUAAGAAAGCUCAGGAUUGUAGGAUGCCCAAAGCUGAGGACAAUGCCUGCUAUCCCCUGGACUGAUAGUCUAUGCUCCAUUGAGAUAGAACAAACAGGCUCAAUUGAGGAGCUCACUUACUCAGAACCAAAAUUAAGUUUGGACAUUUACGCAGCGGAUGGUACAAGUAGCUUGUUUCCGAAAGAGUUGGCUUUCUGUAAUUUGAGUGCACUAAAAAUAUUGAAUCUACACAAUUGCCCUCCUUUGCCGUUGGAUAAAAUCCAAAUGCUAACAUCUCUGCGGGAGCUCACUAUAAGUGGUCGGUCGAGUAUUGUCCUGUCUCCAGUCGGAGGCGAGGGCCAUGUCCUGUGCCAGGUUCCAGUUGAAAACCUCACAAUUUAUGGAAGUGGUGCUAGCGGGAAAGAAUUGACUCAACUGCUCUCUCAUUUUCCGAAGCUCACCGGCCUGGCCAUAUAUGAUUGCGAAAAGAUAACAGAACUUGGUGUGUCAGAGCGGCAGAGUGGAGCACAGCAGCAAGAGACAAAAGAAGAGGAGGAAAUAGUGGCGACGGCAGAAGGAGGACUGCUGCUCUUGCCUACCCAACUACAGAAGCUGAUAGUCGAAAAUUGCCAUGAGCUGAGAAUAGUCCCCAAUUUAGGGGGCGACAACAACGAAGCAGCAGGAGGUCUCCAGCGUCUACACUCCCUCCGCCAAGUGCGCGCAGGUUGCCCCAAGUUGCUUUUCUCCUAUUCGGGCUCGAGCUCCUCGUCUUGUUUCCCUUUCCCGGCCUCCCUUGAAAAACUCUGCCUAUCCAAUCUUAAAGAAUUCAACAAUCUGGCCCUCACAAACCUAUCCAACCUGGAAGAACUCGAGCUUUGGGGCAUGGAGGACCUCACAAACCUAAGCGUCAGCCGUUCCUCAAAACUACAUACCCUAUCCAUAUAUAACUCCCCAGGAGUUCUUCCUGUGUCCAUCUGCAGCCUCAUCUCCACCUCUCUCACCAAAUUGAGCAUUUAUGGUUGCAAAGAGGUGGAGCCCAUCCCAGGAGAGGCCCUCCUGGUUCUCACCUCCCUCCAAGAGCUCGCAUUUGGUUACUGCCAGAAAUUGCAGUUCCUCCCUGCAGGACUACAUACACUUGCCAGCAUCAACUACUUGUGUAUCUUUGAAUGCACAUCCCUCCAGUCGCUGCCCAAGGACUGCCUCCCGAGUUGUCUGCAGAGAUUACAGAUCUCCAAUUGUCCUGAGCUGGAAUUGCUUCCCACUUUUUCGGACGGCCUCCGAACUUCUCUGCAAAAAUUGGAGAUCGCGAAUUGUCCUGCCAUAAAAUCAGUGCCCAAGGACGCCCUCCCGAGUUCUCUGCAGGAAUUACUGAUCCGGGAGUGUCCUGAAAUCAAAUCGCUUCACAAGGAUGGGCUUCCCAAAUCCCUGCGAGCACUACAUGUCCGUGAUUCCGAAAGCGAGGAGCUUAAAAGGCAGUGCCGCAGCUUGAUAGGGACAAUUCCAGGCUCUCUUUUUGUCUUUUUGAUUGGUUCAUCAUCAGCCUCGUACAAUUCUCUCUGGAUACAAAGUGUAGUUCGUUCUCUGGCUCUCAUCAGUUUUUCCCAGUGCAAGCACAAGACUUCAGUCUGUAUCAUCCAUGAUGUACGUAAUCAUCCCGAUUUUGUCAUCUUUCGCGGUGUAGCAAGCUUAAGGGACAAUUCCAGUAAAUCAAACACUGGUGGCCGGAGAUAUGUGUGCAAGGGCUGCGGCGGCUUGACAAAUUUUGCGAAGAAAGCUGUUAUAGGGAGGGGGAGGAAUAUAUAUAGGAAAGGUUCUGUGAACCACCAGCAAUCAAUCUCGGUAAAAGGUUGGUCCUGUGGGUUAAGGCAGACCUGGUUCUCCUGGUGUUCUUAUAUUCGCUCUGCAAUGCUUCAAAUUACUUUCGUUAAAAUCUUCGUGGUAACUCAUGAAGACAUGGUUUUCAAGUUCGCUACACUUCCACAACCUUUUCAUACAGUUUACAUCUUCAGGUUUGCAUUUCAUCGUGACAAGAUGCCCUCCAAGCCGAUCAUCCUUUUAUCUUAUGUUGCUAGCCUCAUCGGUACUUGGCAUUGCAUUUCCUACAUUGGGAUCUAG
rnacentral:rRNA from 1 species